AUGGCGUCGCUCGUCGCCGUCCAGCCGGUCGCCGUGAGGGGCCUGGCCGGCAGCUCCAUCUCCGGCCGCAAGCUCGCCGUCCGGCCCGCCUCCGCCGCCGUCUCCCGCUCCACGCGCAGGGCUCGCGGGGCGGCGGUGGUGGCCAAGUACGGGGAGAAGAGCGUCUACUUCGACCUGGACGACAUCGCCAACACGACGGGGCAGUGGGACCUGUACGGCAGCGACGCGGCGUCGCCCUACAACGGCCUGCAGAGCAAGUUCUUCAACACCUUCGCCGCGCCCUUCACCAAGCGGGGGCUGCUGCUCAAGGUGCUGCUGCUCGGCGGCGGCUCGCUGCUCGCCUACGUCAGCGCCACCGCCUCCCCCGACCUGCUCCCCAUCAAGAAGGGGCCCCAGCUGCCGCCCACCCCGGGACCACGCGGCAAGAUCUAA
rnacentral:rRNA from 1 species